rnacentral:lncRNA from 1 species
AAGAGUUGAAACUCAGACGAAUAUCUUUUUUCUCAUAUAUUUAUUCUUUUGGGUACGUAGGAUUGCAAAAGGAGGCGGCAAAUCCCACCGUGCGGUGCCUCGAAAACCACCAAUAACGAGCUUUACUUCACUCAGCACUUCCCUUCUGGUAGACGUGCUGCCCUGAUUUGCAACUCCUCCGGCGAUAAAAUCCACCGCCAUGUUUAUUCCCCUCGUCAGAAUCGUCGUAAUAAUUGUCCCUUCCAGCGCAGGGUCAGUUUCUUUUUCUCCCGUAUUUUCCUUUCCUAAAUUGUUAUAAUUCUUAAAUCGUAUAUUUAUUUGUCAAGAAGGUAGUUAAAAUCACGAUGAAAUGAAUCGAUUUUACAGACAAAUAAAAUAUAGUUUCAUAAUUCUCGAAAAUAUGAGAUAAAAAAACUCGAGUCAUUCUCUUGCCCACAAAUCUCCGACGAAAGUACUGAGCUAUCUUUUUGAAGAAGACAAUAAACUGAUUUUAUGCUACUUUUAUUUGAAUUAUACUUGAAUUAAUUAUGACUUAUAGUAAACCAUCAAAAUCUCUAAUCAUUAAGAAUGAACAAAUAGCUUAAAAAAAAGAAUGAACAAAUAAUGUUAAAACUUUCUUUUUCCGGAGCCGAACCGAUUGAGCAGAUAAGAUAAUUUCCACUUUGAAAGUCGAAUCUUAAAAUAUAAAAAAAAUUAUUGAUUCUAUAGCAUUUAAUUUUAGUUGAGAUUUUAUAUAAUUUCACAAUCUAUUAAUUCUUUUUGUUGUAUCCAAAAUGGUUAGACAUCAAUAAAAUUGUAAAAUUUUGAUAAUAAAACACACUGCUUCUUCUGGUUUCAGCAGGCGAGAUUGAGGGGAAAACGGGAAGCCAACGUGUCACAAAAGCCGCGGAAGCAGCAGCAUUAUCAUCACCAUCAAGGCAGCAGAGUUGGUGACUUGGCUGAUCCGUUGCUGCCACGUAGGCAGCAGUCGCCAUGUCAGCCGAAGAAGCAGAAGCAUCCAACCGGCUACGGCGUCGUUUCGCUCGAACCGUCUCCUCGUCGCAAGGAGGCUGUGGACGAGGAUCUAUACAAAAUCCCAGAUGAGCUUCUAAUCCCCUCUUCCAGAAGGGUAUGAUCGUAAUCUACUAAAUCAGAUUGUUUUACCCUGUUUUUUAAUUUCUUUCUGGUGUGGAGAUUUGUAUUGAUGAUUCCGCUGUUGUUUUUGCUUUUGCAGAAGAAAUUGCGAGGAUUACUGUCAUGCUUUCUACCAUUUUCUCGUAGUUCUUGAUUAAUGGGAACGUCUGUUUAGUAUUGCACAAUGUGGGAUUUGACUUCUGUAUCGAGUUAUUUGUGUGACUGAUCACAUAUAUGAUAAUAAACAGUUAUCGGUGUAACUGAUCAAAUACAAUGAUGACCAGUUAUUAAGUUGUGAACUA